ACAGUAAAUAUGUGUUUGCAAGAGUUUAAAAAAGAUUCUUAGUUUAUACAGAGAUGCUCUUUAGCCUAUUCUGAAAACAAAUACCAUAUUACAAGCAAACAUAAAGCACAAGACAAGGGCAAAGCUUUGGCUCAAUCCGGAAAUCACGAGCACAUAUCAAGCACAGGAGCUGCCGAGAAUCAUCGACAAGGAAGCUUCGGAACACCAGAGGAAUGCAGGCAGCUUCAUCGUCGUCCUCAAGUUCUCGACAUACUCGCUAACACCACCUACCUUGGCAGCUUCCUGGGUUUUCAUGGACUGUUCCUUCUCUUUCAGCUUGGCAACUUCACCGGUCCACAUAUCCACAUAUCCACCGGUCCACAUAUCCACGAUCCCGGACAUUGAACCCAACAGAACCGGAAAGAAAAGAGAUAACCUGAAAAUAUAUCUCCCAAACGAUUUUGAAGACAGAUAUCUAAUAAGUGAAUAGAAGAC
rnacentral:lncRNA from 1 species